AUUGAACGCUGGCGGCAGGCCUAACACCUGCAAGUCGAGCGGAGCGGCGGACGGGUGAGUAAUGCCUAGGAAUCUGCCUGGUAGUGGGGGGGAACGUCCGGAAACGGGCGCUAAUACCGCAUACUAUCAGAUGCGCCUAGGUCGGAUUAGCUAGUUGGUGGGGUAAAGGCCUACCCAGGCAACGAUCCGUAACUGGUCUGAGUGGAUGAUCAGUCACACUGGAACUGAGACACGGCCCAGACUCCUACGGGAGGCAGCAGUAGGGAAUCUUCGGCAAUGGACGAAAGUCUGACCGAGCAACGCCGCGUGAGUGAAGAAGGCCUUCGGGUUGUAAAGUACUUUCAGCGGGGAGGCGUUACCCGCAGAAGAAGCACCGGCUAACUCCGUGCCAGCAGCCGCGGUAAUAC
rnacentral:rRNA from 1 species